CCUCAUUUCAUUUAUAUGUCUGGUGGAAGAGAUGUUGCAAAAGGUACUCUGUGGCUGUGUACCUGGUGAAGGUGCUGUCCCCCUCAGACCUCCUCAGUCAACUGAAGAGCCAAUCAGUGGAGAGUCUGACAUUCUGCAGACAGCGCAUCCAGGAGAAGCUGCGUUUCGACC